rnacentral:rRNA from 1 species
AUUGAACGCUGGCGGCAGGCCUAACACAUGCAAGUCGAACGAGUGGCGGACGGGUGAGUAAUGUCUGGGAAACUGCCUGAUGGAGGGGGAUAACUACUGGAAACGGUAGCUAAUACAGCAUCCAUCGGAUGUGCCCAGAUGGGAUUAGCUUGUUGGUUGGGUAAGGGCUCACCACUGCGACGAUCCCUAGCGGGUCUGAGAGGAUGACCAGCAACACUGGAACUGAGACACGGUCCAGACUCCUACGGGAGGAAGCAGUGGGGAAUAUUGCACAAUGGGCGAAAGCCUGAUGCAGCCAUGCCGCGUGUAUGAAGAAGGCCUUCGGGUUGUAAAGUACUUUCAGCGGGGAGGCGUUACCCGCAGAAGAAGCACCGGCUAACUCCGUGCCAGCAGCCGCGGUAAUUC